rnacentral:tRNA from 1 species
GGCUCAGUAGCUCAAUGGCAGAGCAGUUGACUCUUAAUCAAUUGGUUGGGGGUUCGAGUCCCUCCUGAGUCA